rnacentral:lncRNA from 1 species
AGAUUUAUCUUUUUUUUUUUUUUUUUUUUAACCAUGGCUGCAACUGCAAAUAAAGCUUUUUUACCUUCAACUAUAAGGGAAGGCGGAAGCGAGGAAGUAAACAAAUAAUUUUAAACACAUGCAAAAAAUGGUCCAAAAACAAUCAUACCAAAAAUAAAAUAAAAUAUACUCACUAGUGCCAAACUGGCUUACGUGGCUA